AUCUAUUUUGCGUUUUCACCCAAGUUUUGGAGAAGGAGAGUCUCAUUUCAUACAAGUACAUUUAAGUCCACUUUCCCCUCUCCUGGCUGCUUAAUGUGCUUAAUUCCUGCGUCCUAUCUCCAAGGUAAUCGAGGUGAGGCAGUGAGGAGAGGGAAAGUGGACAAAAAAUUAGAUUGCAUUUGGAUUACUGUUACAGUGCUAUUUGGGUUAUUAAUUGGAUUUGUUCGGACAUUUCUUAAUUUCUUUCUUUUUACAUUGUGUGUAUUGUUUUGUAUUGCUAUGUUUUACUACACUGUUGGAGCGAGAAACACACAUUUCGCUGCACCUGCGAUAAUGUCUGCAAAUCUGUGUACGCUACCUGUUGGGUUCUGCUUUUCUUUUCUUAGUCAACCUUGUUAUUUUUAUUUGUGUUCUUGAACAUAGCCAUGUUUCUUUGUGUUCUGGAACAUAGCCCUGUCUUUCAUUUUUGUUGAUUGAUUUCACCUGUGUUCGGUCUCAUCAGUUCCCUAUUUAGUUCAGUUCUUUCUGUUUGUAUGAUUGUGAGGUUUUGUUUGUUUUUGACCAUUGCCUGCGACCAUGAUUCCUGCCUUUUGCAUCAGACUGUGGCCCUCAGUUCACCUCACUUGUAUGGAAAUAAUUAAUGGAACACCUGGGGAUCAUGGUCAGUCUCCCCUCUGGGUACUGUCCUCAAGCUAAUAGGCAGGUGGAGCAAGUUAAUUAGGAAGUGGGCAGUUUCCUGAUGUAUUACUAUCAGGACCGGUGGGGGAGUGGGUGUUUUUUUUUUUAACCUUGGGCGGAGUACGUGCAGCAUUCCCUCUGCCACUCCUCCACUAACCUCACCCCAACACGCACUUGAAAGGCGUAUCAGCCGGCCCUGGCACCUUGGCAUCCCAGCCUGACUGAGGUCCCUGCGGUGGACGAGUGGUUUCGGCGCGCUGAGGAGACCAGGAACGCUGCGCACACUCGUCUCCAGGGGGCUGUGUGUUGGCACAAGAAACAGGCUGACCGCCACUGCAACGAGGCGCCUGUUUUCUCUCCAGGCGACCAGGUCUGGCUCUCCACCUUUAACCUGCCCCUCCGCCUACCCUGCUGGAAGCUAAGUCUUUGGCUAGUGGUGUCUGGUCCCCUCGCUGAGGCUGAACCCUGUGACGCCCUGCCUCCUCUGGACAUCAAGGGAGGUCCGUCAUACUUGGUCAGUGAAGUCCUGGAUUCAAGGCGACAGGUGGGGCGUCUCCAGUACCUCAUCGACUGGGAGCGGUACGGCCCAGAGGAGUGGCGACGUGUUCCUGCGGUGGACAUCCUGGACGCUUCACUGACCAGGGUUUUUCACCAUUGGCGCCCUGACUGACCCACACCUUGUCCCUGAGGCCGGUACUCAGGUCUGUCUUGUCUCAUUACGCACACCUGGUUCCCCCAGAUUUAGUGUGCCCUCUUCCCCAUUGUGUUUUUUUUUCUCCAUUGAUGUUGAGUACCUUUGCUCUGUUGUAUUGUGCACUUGUUGUGUUAAAUGGAGACAUAAAACCCCUUAUUACGUA